UCGUGAUUUCGAUUUAUUGUGCAGCCCUAGUUUGUGUUAGUGGUACUGUUUAAAUGUGUUUUGGUCAAAGUCAGGGUAGGUAAUUUGGUUCAAAAACAUUGAUACGCUUGUUGAAAUUCGCCUCACAUCCCGAUAGCAAACAAUAAGUUAAGUGGUCUAUAUUUAUUUAUUUAUUUAUAUGUAUUAAUAUCGUCUAGGUGUAGGACCAUAGAAUGUUCGUCCAAUCAAAAUAUUCGGUCCGAACUUUACGAUAGGCUAUUUUGCCUGCCUGUCAAGUAUGUAUUUGCAUAUCUCUGCACACCCUGUUUAUGAUGUGAUCUAUCAUAAGCGUGUUCUAGCGAGAAUGAAAGGUGCUAUUAUUGCAAUAUUAUGCACUUUGCACUGUAAUGUUUUCUCAACGGUGAAUGAAGCAUGAGGUAAUCUGACAGCGUGGCAUUUAAUCCUCCACCAAAGCCGUCUCUCAUCGUGUCACUGGUUAGUCUCUGCUCUGCCUGAGUGCGUUCAUUUGUUUUGGAGGAGGUGUGGCUUUGCAGAGUGAUUAUGCUGGGAGGGUGGGAAUCUUAUGCUUUUAAAGCUAGCUUGCUAUUACUAGCCUUUACGAAAUCGCCUACCCUACCUUUAUGUAGUUUAAACUGUUUAACAGUUUUCUGUUGAUUUUUAUUUAAUUUAGGUCGGGGUGUGUUUGCAAAAACCCCUAUCUCACAAGGUUCCUUUAUUCUGGAGUACAGAGGAACUUUAGUGGAAAAAGGGAAAUUGUGAAAAUAUGUAAAUAAUAAUUAUGCAUACUUUUUCAAACACAGAGGGCGUGACUGCUGGUGAGUAGCCUGUAUUUUACUGUAUUUUAAAAAUGUGUUUCUUAACCCUGAAACUAAAUAUCAACACAGUUUUGGGGCAGGUUAUAGUGAUUACUAAUUAUGUAUUCCUUUCCAGAGCAUAACUUUAGUGAACAUUUGUAACAAUAAUUUUUUUCCCUAUAUAGCAUUGAUGCCUCCUUUGAUGACGGCUCUCUUGGGAGACUUGUAAAUGACAGCCCAAAGCCAAAUGGCAAAAUAAAAAAAAAUUAACUGGAUGGAAAGCCUCAUCUUUGUUUAUUUUCAAUGAAAGACAUAAAUAAAGAUGAGGAGAUCACUUAUGAUUAUGGAGGACAAGACUUGCCAUGGCGUUCUCACUGUGGGCAGGAACUGUGCAAGGAUGUCAACCCCCUAUAGUCACCAAACACCACUUAGAAUUGUGUUUCAACCUGCAAAAGCCAAAGAGCUUUGUAAAUAAAAUAGACAUAGGCACAUACAAGACGACCACAACAUGUGCCGAUGGACAGAACGUAUAUAUGUCCAUCAGAAAUGGUAGUGACCCAGAAUUUGAAGAGGGUGGGUCAUACGUAGUCAAAAAUUACACCCUCUCCAGAAAAUAUGGGCGGCCGUGCUUGUUUCUCACUCGCGCGACAAGAAAAUUCAGAACAGCUCUAUUGGCUGUAGUGGAGUCAGCAGAAAGAGCUGCUAAGGAGGUCCUCUACCCCCUUCCCAAUAUAUGACUGGUGAAGACAUUUUCUCAAACACCGGUCAUCUUAGUCUGAAGGGAAAGAUUGAAAAAUUGCAAAUGGCCAGGAUAACUCAGGCCUAGGUUCCUAUCCUUCCUGGACCUUAGUUUGAGGUGUGGAUCCAAACUCCAUGAGGUCUCAUUAUGGAGAGAUGAAGCGUUGGUUGGUGGACCAUGUGGAGCUCACCCACCUAAAGGCAAACAUCAGGCCAAAAGGCACUGGAAAGUUUGACUCUUCAAACUACACAAGUGUCAAGGUGUACAAUAUUAUUAUUACCAACAAGAAUUCAUACACAGGACUACACUGCUGCUGCUUGACCUAACACAAAUCCAUCUGCAUCUGGACCACAGAAAUAAAAAUCCAUUCUACAAAAAGCUUGAGCAAGCUUUCAAAGAAAAAGCAAAUGGAAGAUUUAUUUUGGAAAUGUGGAGUUGAGAGUCCAACAUCAGGAACAAUAUGCUCAACUCCUCUAUUCAACACUACCUCAUCCCAGACUACAGCUUCACAGGCCUCAAGCUCCCAAGAACAGCUUCUCCCAGAAGAGCAACCAGGUCCCUCCACUGCAGAAACACACAGGAGACAAACACUCUAUGAUGUUUUGAAGCACAUUCAGAGGAGAACAGCUGCUCUAGAGUCACUAGUGCGGCCUGACUGAGCGCCGAAGAAGGCUUAAAGAGAGGCGAAGAAGAGUGUUUGAAACAAAAAACUCUAACCUGCCUUAGAGAAAUAAUUCAACCGCUAAAAAAAAAAUCUGUAAAUCACAGGAAAUGAUAAUUGUUCUCUUAAAAAUAGUUGAACUAUAUACACUCCAUUCCCCUGUGCAUCACAUCAUUUACAACACCGGCAGAAGGCUUUGGUGUCUUGGCCUGAAACAGUUCUUCUCUGCCUCUGCCUUCCUCUUUGCCUUUCCUCUGUCGUCACCUUCCUUUUCAGCACUCAUUUUCAAUACUUUUAUACUUCUAAACUAUCGAACUCAGCUUGGAAACAACUGGCGCCGCCGCAUGAACAUUAACUUUUGCUCAUGAGCGUGAGAGUCAUUCUCCACGAUGAUUGGCUGAGAAGACAUUACGUGAUAUGAGAUGCGUAGCACCGAGUUAACUUUCUCAUCACAAUCAUGAAUCAUCCACAGCUAGAUAAACAAGUGAAGAGUUUGGUUCCAAAACGCGAUAAACGCCAUUUUCAAAAAAUUUAGUUUCCGCCAAAAUCAGUAUUGUAUCUAGUCGGUAUUGAAAAGUCAUUUAUUAAUUUUG